rnacentral:rRNA from 1 species
AUUGAACGCUGGCGGCAGGCCUAACACAUGCGAGUCGAGCGGAUGAAGGGAGCUUGCUCCUGGAUUCAGCGGCGGACGGGGGAGUAAUGCCUAGGAAUCUGCCUGGUAGUGGGGGAUAACGUCCGGAAACGGGCGCUAAUACCGCAUACGUCCUGAGGGAGAAAGUGGGGGAUCUUCGGACCUCACGCUAUCAGAUGAGCCUAGGUCGGAUUAGCUAGUUGGUGGGGUAAGGGCCUACCAAGGCGACGAUCCGUAACUGGUCUGAGAGGAUGAUCAGUCAGCUUGGAACUGAGACACGGUCCAGACUCCGACGGGAGGCAGCAGUGGGGAAUAUUGGACAAUGGGCGAAAGCCUGAUCCAGCCAUGCCGCGUGUGUGAAGAAGGUCUUCGGAUUGUAAAGUACUUUAAGUUGGGAGGAAGGGCAGUAAGUUCAUACCUUGCUGUUUUGACGUUACCAACAGAAUAAGCACCGGCUAACUUCGUG